AAAAUUUCACUUACCAUGCUUUAGUUUGGGGGAAAUUAUUUCAGAGGUAAAAUUUGUCACUGAACUUGAAGAAAUGAUUUCUUAAACAAAGAUGGGAAACUGAGCCACAAAGAAUCUAGCAAGUUGCCUCUAUCAAGGGACACAGCUGGGAUUUAAUUCAAAGUAUUGUAUACUCCAGAGUUUUGCUUUGAGGAAACUCCUUUGAGGAAUGUACCUGAGACAGCAACAAAUCAGAGUGAUGUCUGAGGUCAUGCAAAUUUCUGACACAUUUUGGAAAAAAAACUUGAAAUCAAUUAAUGCAGCGGAAGAGUUAAGGAUGAUCUCCACUUUAUUGACUGUGUAGAUGCAUGACCAAUGUGAUGUACAAUUGA